GCUUCAUUUCUUCAAAUUUCUUCCUCAUUCACCGUUUCUAGAUCUUCCUAUACAUUAUCUUCCUAUACAUUUAGGAAUUUCUUCAAAUUCCUAAAAGUCUCUUUGAUUACACACCGUAAUGACUGCAAUGUUCAAUCUGGCCUAUAUAAAUCAUCUAGAUUCUCUCUAUUCGGCUUCAUCUGAGCUUUCAAAUGGAUCCAUCACCAUCACUUGAUCAAGAAACCCGUAGCAAAGAAGAUGAGGCAGAGUGUCCAACUCCCGACAGUAGCAGAGACAAAAGGAAACAGUCAAGUGCUGCGAUUUCUCAACCAUCUAAGGUUAAGCGGAUCCUUCCUACAAGAUCAGAUGUGUGGGAACAUUACACAAGAACUAAGGAGGACAGAGACCAGUGUCUAUGCAACUACUGUCAGAAAAAAUUCUCGUGUCUCACCUCACCGGGGACCACGGACCUGAGGAAGCAUCUUGAGGUUUGCAAGAACCAUCAAGCUUGGUUAGCAGUUCAGAAAAACAAACAAGAAAAUGUCUCUGAGGAUGGGAAGCUGAGGGUGGGUAAACUUACUGAAGCUGUGUUUAGAGAAGCAACGAAUGAGAUGGUCGUGAUGGCCCAACUGCCUUUAGCGUUUGUCGAUAGUCCUGCAUGGAAGCAUUUCUGUAAAAAGGCAAAGCUAGGAUACAAUCCUCAUUCAAGAAGGACUUUAACCAAAGACAUAAAUUAAGUCGUAUGUGGAGAAGAAAGCGGCACUGAUGAGAUGGUUCUUAUGCAACAAACAACGUGUGUCCAUCACUACAGACAUGGGUUUCCCAAAUCACAGGUGCUAGUUACAUGGUGAUUACGGUGCAUUAUAUUGAUGCUUUCUGGCGACUGAAGAAGCUGAUCAUAGGGUUCAAACAUAUCACGGAUCAAAAAGGUCAGACUAUAACUUCUGUUUUACUAGAUUGCUUGGCUGAAUGGGGAAUUGAGAGGAUCUUUUGUAUUACCGUUGACAAUGCAAUUGUGUAUACAUCAGUAUUAAGGAAGUUUCAGAGUGCAUUUGCAUUAGAUGGUGAGUUCUUGCAUAUGAGAUGUAGCGCUCAUAUAAUAAACCUGAUUGUGAGGGAUGGAAUGGCUGAAAUAGAUCAGAACGUGGCUGCUAUCAGAAAUGCUAUCUCGUAUGUUAGAUCACAUACAAACAGGUUGAGUUCUUUUGAGCUUAAGGUUGACUCGGGUAAGAUAUCAAGAGGAAGCUUGCCUUUGGAUGUCAAGACAAGGUGGAAUUCAACAUACCUGAUGUUGACAACAGCUCUGAAGUUCAAGGUGGCAUUCAACAAGAUGGUGGCAGAAGACAAGCUGUACAACGACUAUUUCUGUGAGAUUGAAGCUGGUGCUAAAAGGAUUGGUCCUCCUGAGAAUAUGGAUUGAAUGCAGUUGAGAAAUUGUGCAUGUUUCUUGUGAUCUUUUACAACUCAACCUUGGUGGUAUAAGCUUCAACUUCUCUUAACUCCCACAAGUGUUAUGAAGAGGUGGUCACCAUUGCAACAAAUCUGAUUGCACUCGUCAACAGCUAUGAUCCAGAGUUGAAGUCCAAGGCAACAGAAAUGUUGAAAAAAUUCGAGAAGUAUUGGGAUGGUCUCAAGAAUUUGAACAAGAUGCUGAUGGUUGCUAUUGUCUUUGAUCCAAGCAAGAAGUAGAGUUUGUGAAGUUGUGUUUUGAGGAAUUGUAUGGACAUGACACUGUCUACUAUAAGGAGAUGUACGACUCCUUACUCACUGUCUUGAGAAGUUUGUUUAAGGAAUACAGUACAAGAUUAGGAGGUGGUACUGAUCCAGAUGACUAAUCGUCUCAGCCUAACAAAACAUCACAGUAUUCUCCAGAGAAGUCUAUUGAAAGAAUGGAGACAGUGGAUGAUUGUGCUGGCUACAAGCGGAUUGCUCGAGAUGUUUUGGCAAUGCAGGUUUCUUCAGUUGCUUCGGAGAGUGCUUUCAGCACUAGUGGGAGGAUGCUUUCACCACAUAGGAGUUGUCUUACUCACUUUAUGGUUGAAGUUUUAAUGUGCUCAGAACAGUGGAUGAAACAAGAUCUGAAGAUGGAGUCAAGAAUGCCUUCACAUGCACAAAUUCUUGAAGAUCUUGAGGAGGAUGACAAGCUCGAAAGAGAGAAUGGAGAUGCAUCAACAGUCUUGGAGUAAGAGUUCUACAAGAAGAUUGUCUUUUAUGUUUGGAAUUUGAGCAUUUUGAAUUUGUUUCUUUAGUACUUUUUAUGCAAUUGAUUUCGUUAUGGACGUUAAGUGUUUUGGUGUGUUCAAACUUAUGUGUGUUUGGUUUCGGAUUUAUAAGUUAUUAAG